UACGUAGGGGGCUAGCGUUGUCCGGAUUUAUUGGGCGUAAAGAGCGUGUAGGCGGCCAUGUAGGUCCGGUGUGAAAACUCGAGGCUUAACCUCGAGAUGUCAUCGGAAACCAUUCGGCUAGAGUCCGGAAGAGGAGAGUGGAAUUCCUGGUGUAGCGGUGAAAUGCGCAGAUAUCAGGAAGAACACCAAUGGCGAAAGCAGCUCUCUGGGACGGUACUGACGCUGAGACGCGAAAGCGUGGGGAGCGAACAGG
rnacentral:rRNA from 1 species